rnacentral:lncRNA from 10 species
GCACUAAAAAGCUUGGAAUAGGUAUGAAUCUAUUGUGUAUAUACACAUAUAUAUACGUUGGUAAAAAUGUUGAAAUAUGCUAUGGGACUCUUUAAAAAGAGUAAUGAGGCCUGGCGUGGUGGUUCACGCCUGUAAUCCCAGUACUUUGGGAGGCCAGGCGGGCGGAUCACAAGGUCAGGAGUUCAAGGCCAGACUGACCAAUGUGAGAUGGUGAAACCCUGUCUUUACUAAAAAUACAAAAAUUAGCUGGGUGUGGUGGCGCACACCUGUAAUCCCAGCUGCUUGGAAGGCUGAGGCAGGAGAAUCACUUGAACCCAGCGGGUGGAGGUUGCAGUGAGCCGAGAUUGCCCCACUGCACUCCAGCCUGGGCAACAGAGCGAGACUCAAUCUCAAAAAAAAUAAUGAAACUGAUGCUCUCUUUAUGCUUCGUUUGUCUUAGAUAUUUGGUUCCCGGGUAAGAGUUGACUCUACAGCAAAGGUUGCAGAAAUAGAACAUGCGGAAAAGGAAAAAAUGAAGGAGAAAGUUGAACGUAUUCUUAAGCAUGGAAUAAAUUGCUUUAUUAACAGGCAAUUAAUUUAUAAUUAUCCUGAACAGCUCUUUGGUGCUGCUGGUGUCAUGGCUAUUGAGCAUGCAGAUUUUGCAGGUGUGGAACGCCUAGCUCUUGUCACAGGUGGUGAAAUUGCCUCUACCUUUGAUCACCCAGAACUGGUGAAGCUUGGAAGUUGCAAACUUAUCGAGGAAGUCAUGAUUGGAGAAG